rnacentral:lncRNA from 1 species
CUCGUCGCUAUCGCCCUGCUGUUCAAGUUGAUUCGAAGGAUUAAAUUAUCAGAUUUUAUGUCUUCUGUGGUGCGAUGAUGUAGUAGUUUUUGAUUGUAUAUAUUGUGUGGUAUAUAUAUGUUGUGUGGUGUGAUGGUGUAGUACUGUAUUUUUUUAUAGCAGUUUUUGAUUUAUGGUAUGAAUAUAUCUUCUUGGUAUGAAAGAAUGAU